UCCAGUAGUCAUAUGCUUGUUUCAAAGAUUAAACCAUGCAUGUUUAAGUAUAAACCUUUGUUCGGCGAAAAUGCGAAUGGCUCAUUAAAACAGUUAUAGUUUAUUUGAUAAUCAAUUACUACAUGGAUAACUGUAGUAAUUUUAGAGCUAAUACAUGCGUCAGAACCCGACUAUUUUGGAAGGGUUGUGUUUAUUAGAUACAAAACCAGCAUUUUUGUUGGUGAUUUAUAAUAACCAAACGAAUUGGCAGUUUUCUGUUGAUAGAUCAUUCAAGUUUUUGACCUAUCAGCUUUUGACGGUAGGGUAUUGGCCUUCCGUGGGUAUGACGGGUAACGGAGAAUUAGGGUUUGAUUUCGGAGAGGGAGCCUGAGAAACGGCUUCCACAUUUAAGGAUGGCAGCAGGCGCGCAAAUUACCCAAUCCUGACACAGGGAGGUAGUGACAAGAUAUAACAAUACAGGGCAUAACUGUUUUGUAAUUGGAAUGAAGGGAUUUUAAAUCCCUUUGCGAGUACCAAUU
rnacentral:rRNA from 1 species